UUCAAUCUGUGAAAUUUUGCUCUCAUAUUUUAAUUGCUGUUUUGCAAAAAAAGUGCCUGCGAAGGGAUUUUCCCUUUUGUUCAAUAUCUUCAGUUUCGACCUUCACUCAAUUCGAUGAAUCGGCUGGAGACGAACAGUGCUGUUAUAUGGUAAAUUCACUUUCAACGAAUUUGAUUACAUCUCUAUUGUUCUCUGCUGGAUAAGCACAGUCUUCUGCUAAGAUUGUUAGAGUUGAAAAUGUUAACGCAGAAGCAAGUGAACUCGAAAAUGUCGGUGUAGAUUCCCUGCUUAAGCAUGAUGCUAUGAUUGGUUCUGCUAAUGUGCGGUUUGCUAAGGAGGCCGAACUUGAUGUUCAACCACGUUUACCAAACGAACCUGAUGCUCAACUCGACAACAUAGUUCAUUGUACACCUGUUCAAAAGUCCAAGGGAAAGGCUACGAUUGAGGGGAAAUGAUCAAUAAAAA